rnacentral:rRNA from 1 species
CAGCCGCCACGGUAAUACGAAGGGGGCUAGCGUUGUUCGGAAUCACUGGGCGUAAAGCGCACGUAGGCGGACACUUAAGUCAGAGGUGAAAUCCCAAGGCUCAACCUUGGAACUGCCUUUGAUACUGGGUGUCUUGAGUUCGGGAGAGGUGAGUGGAACUGCGAGUGUAGAGGUGAAAUUCGUAGAUAUUCGCAAGAACACCAGUGGCGAAGGCGGCUCACUGGCCCGAUACUGACGCUGAGGUGCGAAAGCGUGGGGAGCAAACAGGAUUAGAUACCCCAGUAGUCCCUGUCUCUUAUAC